rnacentral:rRNA from 1 species
AACGAACGCUGGCGGCGUGCUUAACACAUGCAAGUCGAACGAAGUGGAGAACGGGUGAGUAAUACGUGGGUAACCUGCCCUCCUUGUUGGGAUAAGCAUUGCAAACGGGGUCUAAUACCAACUAAAUGGGGAUGGGCUCGCGGCCUAUCAGCUUGUUGGUGGGGUGAUGGACUACCAAGGCGGUGACGGGUAGCCGGCCUGGGAGGGUGAACGGCAACUGUGAGACGGAGAUACGGCCCAGACGGGUACGGGAGGGGGAAGUGUGGGCUAUUGGACAAAGGGCGAAAGCCCGAUGCAGCGACGCCGCAUGGGGGAUGAAGGUUUUCGGGUUGUAACCCUCGUUCGGUAUCGAACGGUUAGGUGGAGAAGAAGCGCCGGCUAACUACGGGCCAGCCGCCGCGGUAAUUC